UCUGGUUGAUCCUGGCGGAGGUUACUGCUAUCGAGGUUCGACUAAGCCAUGCGAGUCGAAUGUAGCAAUACAUGGCGUACUGCUCAGUAACACGUGGACAACCUACCCUUAGGUCGGGGAUAAACCCGGGAAACUGGGUAUAAUACCCGAUAGUCCUCGGAUGCUGGAAUGCACCGAGGUCUAAAGCUCCGGCGCCUAAGGAUGGGUCUGCGGCCUAUCAGGUAGUAGUGGGUGUAGCGUACCUACUAGCCUACGACGGGUACGGGUUGUGAGAGCAAGAGCCUGGAGAUGGAUUCUGAGACACGAAUCCAGGCCCUACGGGGUGCAGCAGGCGCGAAAACUUUACAAUGCUGGAAACAGCGAUAAGGGGACCUUGAGUGCCAGGUUACAAAUCUGGCUGUCGUGAUGCCUAAAAAGCAUUGCAUAGCAAGGGCCGGGCAAGACCGGUGCCAGCCGCCGCGGUAACACCGGCGGCUCGAGUGGUAACCGCUAUUAUUGGGUCUAAAGGGUCUGUAGCCGGCCGGAUAAGUCUUUUGGGAAAUCUGGCAGCUUAACUGUCAGGCUUUCAGAGGAUACUGUCUGGCUCGAGGCCGGGAGAGGUGAGAGGUACUUCAGGGGUAGGGGUGAAAUCUUGUAAUCCUUGAAGGACCACCAGUGGCGAAGGCGUCUCACCAGAACGGACCUGACGGCAAGGGAC
rnacentral:rRNA from 1 species